CUCUGGGUUCUAGUCCCAGACUCUGUACUCUGGGUUCUCGUCCCAGACUCUGUUCUCUGGGUUCUCGUCCCAGACUCUGUUCUCUGGGUUCUCCCAUGUACUCUGGGUUCUCGUCCCAGACUCAGUUCUCUGCGGUCUCUGGGUUCUAGACCCAUACCAGUACGUUGUUGGUUUUAGUCCCCGGCCAGCCCACAGAAAGCCCUCCGUAGCGCUGAUCAGAUCACUACUACAGACUCAUCAAAGGCUCUGGGAUGAUUCUGCUGCCUUACCUGUCUGUCUACCUGUCUGUCUCCCACCUGGACUGUCUGACCAGUCUGUCUCACCUCCAGACUCAAUCUGGAGCAGAAAGCUUUAAACAUGAUGGACUGGUUGGUUUCGUAUCAUUUGUGAUCCUACUAAGGACAGAUCAAUGUUCACUGAAACCAGUACCGUGUGGUUUAAUAUGAGGUGAAAUGGCAGAGGUCAACCUCUGUGUGGAGAGACUGGAUCUGAUGAAUGGGUAAUGAGGCUGAAUGUGAAUCAGGAAGUGCUGAGAGGAAGACAACCGAAUUAACUGUGGGGUGAAGGAAGGCUUAACGGUUCACCUCGUGUGUGUGUGUGUGUGUGCAGACUAAGUGCUGCUAUCACUGAUUUUGUCUGGUUUUACCACAUUACUGCCCGCGCUGUUGCUGUAAAUAAACACAGAGUCACUCCCAAGAACAAACGAGCUAUUCAUCAUGUUCCACCGUGUCAACACUUUAACCUGACCCUGAUCUAAACCCUUUCCUGUUGAUCCACCACACAGCACAGGACUGGACAGAACUGUUCUAUACACAGGAGGGAGGACAAACUACUAUCAAGUAGACCGGAGGAUGUAACUAUAAACGCGUCUGUCCUUUAACAGCCGGCAGGCCACCUUGAACUAGAACCAUGUUAUGUUAUUCACAGGGACACCCUGCAGCGUUCACGUGCUAGUCGGAACUAGGAAACGCUGAAAUGUCUUGACUUCCUAACUGGUUGAACGCAGCACGUGUAUAACUACAAGCAGUUAGCAAGUUGGGACAUUUCACAGUUUCCUAGUUCCGACGAGUACGCGAACGCAGAAGUCUUAACACAGAGGCGUCCCUCAGUAACUGCGUGCUACAUCGUAAGGUCAUCCAGAAGGACAAGACAAAAUAUUUCCUUUUCACGCUUUUGGAAAUGUGAUGUUUUAACAUUGCUACUAUUGCUAUAAUAUGGAGAAGAAUUCAGUCGUAAAAUCAGACACAAUGUUUCUAUGUUUGUGUGUAAAUAUAGACAUUCUAUACACCAAAUAAAAGUUGAGUAACAGUGGUAUUGGUGAUGUCCGGCGUGCUGCUGGAGAUGAGUAACAGUGGUAUUGUCCAGCCUGUUAGUCUGAAAUUGGUAAGUUCACAUUUUACCCCCCACAUUUACAGUUAUCUUCAUGUUCUCAUGUUAUAAAAUACAGUUCGUAGUUUAGAAUUUUUUUUACCUGCCCUCUGACUACCAGGUAAGUGUGAAUAACAACGAAUAGACAUGAAACAUGAACACACAUGGAUCGGGCCCUCUGUCGCCCCCUUAUAUAGAGGGGUCUGGCUGUAGGGUUAUAUAGAGGGGUCUGGCUGUAGGGUUAUAUAGAGGGGUCUGGCUGUAGGGUUAUAUAGAGGGGUCUGGCUGUAGGGUUAUAUAGAGGGGUCUGGCUGUAGGGUUAUAUAGAGGGGUCUGUCGCCCCCUUAUAUAGAGGGGUCUGGCUGUAGGGUUAUAUAGAGGGGUCUGGCUGUAGGGUUAUAUAGAGGGGUCUGGCUGUAGGGUUAUAUAGAGGGGUCUGGCUGUAGGGUUAUAUAGAGGGGUCUGGCUGUAGGGUUAUAUAGAGGGGUCUGGCGGUAGGGGU
rnacentral:lncRNA from 1 species